rnacentral:rRNA from 1 species
GAUGAACGCUGGCGGCGUGCCUAAUACAUGCAAGUCGAGCGAACAGACGAGGAGCUUGCUCCUUCGACGUUAGCGGCGGACGGGUGAGUAACACGUAGGUAACCUACCUAUAAGACUGGGAUAACUUCGGGAAACCGGAGCUAAUACCGGAUAAUAUUUCGAACCGCAUGGUUCGAUAGUGAAAGAUGGCUUUGCUAUCACUUAUAGAUGGACCUGCGCCGUAUUAGCUAGUUGGUAAGGUAACGGCUUACCAAGGCAACGAUACGUAGCCGACCUGAGAGGGUGAUCGGCCACACUGGAACUGAGACACGGUCCAGACUCCUACGGGAGGCAGCAGUAGGGAAUCUUCCGCAAUGGGCGAAAGCCUGACGGAGCAACGCCGCGUGAGUGAUGAAGGUCUUCGGUUCGUAAAACUCUGUUAUUAGGGAAGAACAAACGUGUAAGUAACUGUGCACGUCUUGACGGUACCUAAUCAGAAAGCCACGGCUAACUACGUG